AGUGAACGCUGGCGGUAGGCCUAACACAUGCAAGUCGAACGGCAGCACAGUAAGAGCUUGCUCUUACGGGUGGCGAGUGGCGGACGGGUGAGGAAUACAUCGGAAUCUACUUUUUCGUGGGGGAUAACGUAGGGAAACUUACGCUAAUACCGCAUACGACCUACGGGUGAAAGCAGGGGAUCUUCGGACUUUGCGCGAUUGAAUGAGCCGCUGUCGGAUUAGCUAGUUGGCGGGGUAAAGGCCCACCAAGGCGACGAUCCGUAGCUGGUCUGAGAGGAUGAUCAGCCACACUGGAACUGAGACACGGUCCAGACUCCUGCGGGAGGCAGCAGUGGGGAAUAUUGGGCAAUGGGCGCAAGCCUGAUCCAGCCAUACCGCGUGGGUGAAGAAGGCCUUCGGGUUGUAAAGCCCUUUUGUUGGGAAAGAAAAGCAGCAAGUUAAUACCCCGCUGUUCUGACGGUACCCAAAGAAUAAGCACCGGCUAACUUCGUG
rnacentral:rRNA from 1 species